UACUGGUGGUAACGCCUAACUCCAAAAAU
rnacentral:sRNA from 1 species